CCAAUGGUAUCAGUGGUAGGGGAGCGUUCUAAGGACAGUGAAGUCAGACCGGAAGGACUGGUGGAGUGCUUAGAAGUGAGAAUGCCGGUAUGAGUAGCGAAAGACGGGUGAGAAUCCCGUCCACCGAAUGCCUAAGGUUUCCUGAGGAAGGCUCGUCCGCUCAGGGUUAGUCAGGACCUAAGCCGAGGCCGACAGGCGUAGGCGAUGGACAACAGGUUGAUAUUCCUGUACCACCUCUUUAUCGUUUGAGCAAUGGAGGGACGCAGAAGGAUAGAAGAAGCGUGCGAUUGGUUGUGCACGUCCAAGCAGUUAGGCUGAUAAGUAGGCAAAUCCGCUUAUCGUGAAGGCUGAGCUGUGAUGGGGAAGCUCCUUAUGGAGCGAAGUCUUUGAUUCCCCGCUGCCAAGAAAAGCUUCUAGCGAGAUAAAAGGUGCCUGUACCGCAAACCGACACAGGUAGGCGAGGAGAGAAUCCUAAGGUGUGCGAGAGAACUCUGGUUAAGGAACUCGGCAAAAUGACCCCGUAACUUCGGGAGAAGGGGUGCUUUCUUAACGGAAAGCCGCAGUGAAUAGGCCCAAGCGACUGUUUAGCAAAAACACAGCUCUCUGCGAAGCCGUAAGGCGAAGUAUAGGGGGUGACACCUGCCCGGUGCUGGAAGGUUAAGGAGAGGGGUUAGCGUAAGCGAAGCUCUGAACUGAAGCCCCAGUAAACGGCGGCCGUAACUAUAACGGUCCUAAGGUAGCGAAAUUCCUUGUCGGGUAAGUUCCGACCCGCACGAAAGGUGUAACGAUUUGGGCACUGUCUCAACCAGAGACUCGGUGAAAUUAUAGUACCUGUGAAGAUGCAGGUUACCCGCGACAGGACGGAAAGACCCCGUGGAGCUUUACUGUAGCCUGAUAUUGAAUUUUGGUACAGUUUGUACAGGAUAGGCGGGAGCCUUUGAAACCGGAGCGCUAGCUUCGGUGGAGGCGCUGGUGGGAUACCGCCCUGACUGUAUUGAAAUUCUAACCUACGGGUCUUAUCGACCCGGGAGACAGUGUCAGGUGGGCAGUUUGACUGGGGCGGUCGCCUCCUAAAGUGUAACGGAGGCGCCCAAAGGUUCCCUCAGAAUGGUUGGAAAUCAUUCGUAGAGUGCAAAGGCAUAAGGGAGCUUGACUGCGAGACCUACAAGUCGAGCAGGGACGAAAGUCGGGCUUAGUGAUCCGGUGGUUCCGCAUGGAAGGGCCAUCGCUCAACGGAUAAAAGCUACCCCGGGGAUAACAGGCUUAUCUCCCCCAAGAGUCCACAUCGACGGGGAGGUUUGGCACCUCGAUGUCGGCUCAUCGCAUCCUGGGGCUGUAGUCGGUCCCAAGGGUUGGGCUGUUCGCCCAUUAAAGCGGUACGCGAGCUGGGUUCAGAACGUCGUGAGACAGUUCGGUCCCUAUCCGUCGUGGGCGUAGGAAAUUUGAGAGGAGCUGUCCUUAGUACGAGAGGACCGGGAUGGACGCACCGCUGGUGUACCAGUUGUUCUGCCAAGGGCAUAGCUGGGUAGCUAUGUGCGGAAGGGAUAAGUGCUGAAAGCAUCUAAGCAUGAAGCCCCCCUCAAGAUGAGAUUUCCCAUAGCGUAAGCUAGUAAGAUCCCUGAAAGAUGAUCAGGUUGAUAGG
rnacentral:rRNA from 1 species